GGAUAUAGCCCAGUUAGUAGAGUGUUUGCCUUGUAUGCACAAGGUCCUGGGUUCAAUCCCCAGCACCA
rnacentral:tRNA from 1 species